CCCUUAGAUGUUCUGGGCCGCACGCGCGCUACACUGAUGCAUUCAACGAGCCUAUCCUUGACCGACAGGUCCGGGUAAUCUUUGAAUCUGCAUCGUGACGGGGAUAGAUUAUUGCAAUUAUUAAUCUUCAACGAGGAAUGCCUAGUAGGCGCAAGUCAUCAGCUUGCGUCGAUUACGUCCCUGCCCUUUGUACACACCGCCCGUCGCUCCUACCGAUUGGGUGUGCUGGUGAAAUGUUCGGAUCGGCCGUUUGUCGCGGUUUCCGCGUCAUGUGGCUGGGAAGUUCAUUAAACCCUCCCACCGAGAGGAAGGAGAAGUCGUAACA
rnacentral:rRNA from 1 species